CUUUAGAAAAAUAAUUAAAGGUUAAUCCUGCCCAGUGAAUUCUUCAACGGCCGCGGUACCCUGACCGUGCAAAGGUAGCAUAAUCACUUGCCUUUUAAUUGUAGGCUAGAAUGAAUGGAUAAACGAGAUAAAAGCUGUCUCAUCUUUAUUAUAUGUAAAUUAGCCUUUAGGUGAAGAGACCUAAAUAUAUAAAAAAGACAAGAAGACCCUAUUGAGUUUUAUAUGUUUAUAACUUCUUUACACACAUAUUUGGUUGGGGCGACCAAGGAAUAACAAUAUCUUCCUUCUAUACUACUGAUAUAUUUAUCUAUUAAACCCUUUUGACCCAAUUAAAUUGAUCAACAAAAUUAACUACCAUAGGGAUAACAGGCUAAUCUUUCUUAAGAGUCCAUAUUGACAGAAAGGCUUGGCACCUCGAUGUUGGCUUAGGGUAACUAAUUAGAUGCAGAAGUCAAUUAAGUUAGUUUGUUCAACUAUUAAUCCCCUACGUGAUCUGA
rnacentral:rRNA from 1 species